rnacentral:rRNA from 1 species
GACGAACGCUGGCGGCGUGCUUAACACAUGCAAGUGGAGCGACGAACCAGGGCUUGCCCUGGGGCAAAGCCGCGAACGGGUGAGUAACACGUGGGUAACCUGCCCCGAUGACCGGGACAACCCGAGGAAACUCGGGCUAAUACCGGAUGAGCUCACGCCACAUCAGUGGCAUGAGGAAUGGAAGCUUCGGCCUCCGCAUUGGGAUGGGCCCGCGGCCCAUUAGCUUGUUGGGGGGUAAAGGCCUACCAAGGCUUCGAUGGGUAGCUGGUCUGAGAGGACGAUCAGCCACACUGGGACUGAGACACGGCCCAGACUCCUACGGGAGGCAGCAGUGGGGAAUCUUGCGCAAUGCGCGAAAGCGUGACGCAGCAACGCCGCGUGC